ACAAGCAUUUCUUAUACCCUGACUUGUGGUAAGAUAAGCAAAGGCUAGAGGUGACGACCUCAAAGUCUGCGGAUCGAACCCAGUCAGGGUGAAAAACAAAAUGAACCUUGA
rnacentral:pre_miRNA from 1 species